AUUGAACGCUGGCGGCAGGCCUAACACAUGCAAGUCGAACGAGUGGCGGACGGGUGAGUAAUGUCUGGGAAACUGCCUGAUGGAGGGGGAUAACUACUGGAAACGGUAGAUAAUACCGCAUACCAGCGGAUGUGCCCAGUUGGGAUUAGCUAGUAGGUGGGGUAACGGCUCACCUAGGCGACGCUCCCUAGAUGGUCUGAGAGGAUGAACAGCCACACGUGAACCGCGACACGGUCCAGACUCCUACGGGAGGCAGCAGUGGGGAAUAUUGCACAAUGGGCGCAAGCCUGAUGCAGCCAUGCCGCGUGUAUGAAGAAGGCCUUCGGGUUGUAAAGUACUUUCAGCUGGGAGGCGUUACCCGCAGAAGAAGCACCGGCUAACUCCGUGCCAGCAGCCGCGGUAAUUC
rnacentral:rRNA from 1 species